rnacentral:lncRNA from 1 species
AAAAGGAACCUAAUGGAUCGUACACCGUGUAAGGCAGAGAUUGAAGAAACAACGGAGAUGAGUAAGGAUAAUUAAAUGGUUUAAUUAUUUAUGGCAAGGAUUAAUUAAUAUGUUAAUUAAUCAAACGAAUAAAGUUCGUUAAAGACCUCGGGUUAGUUUUGGGCCUCAAGGCCUAAUGGGCUUCGAACGUCAAGCCCAUUGACUUAAGUUGUAUGACAACUUAAUGACUAAUAAUUCACAAAGGCCCAAAUAGCCCAAUAAAACCCUAUGGCCGGCCAUAUAGAUAAAGGAGUGGGUUUUGGACUUAUUACAAGUUUGCCACUCCAAUGAAGGUAGAUAUAAAUAUGACUUUAUAGCUAUUUCUUCAUUAGGGUUUCUUUUGGAGAACAGAUGAGAACACAAACUCUCUUUUCUCUCUAAGAGGCCGGCCACCCUAGAGGAACCUAGCUAGCAAUCUUACUUCCUCUAGGUCACUCAUUUCUUUAUCAAUCUUUCCUUGGUGUGGAGACUUAGAGGUUCUCAACUUUGAGAACUUAGAGAAACCAAUUCUUCCAUCCAAAUCCAUGGAGCUAAGAAGCAAGGAAU